CUCAUGGCCUAAGGACCUCAGUGAUCUCUCCUCCAGAGAAGAACCAAGAAGAAAAACUUAAUCUGCAAAUUGUUCUUUCAUUUAUAUUAUUAAGUUCCUACCACAUGUCAGCCCUGUUCCAAGCCCUAGAGACACCAUCAGCAGACAAGACUCCACCUCUGACGGUGGGGGAAACCGUAACAGAUGCAUUUAAAAACUAAGUUCAAUGAUUGACAACUGCUCUGAGGAAAAUAAAAUAAGGACUAUAACAGAAAGCCAUUGGUCAAGGAUUGGGAGGAGGGAGUAAUCCAAAACUUCAACACGUUGUACUUUCAUCUGCAAAUGUAAUUUGCUACCAAUGACCUCUACAUACAUAAUGUAAUAAAGACUGUGUACUAACCUAUCUCCCAGAUAAAUACAGUUAUUUUUCUAUUUACAGAACCAUUCCUUCAACACCCCCCCCCCCUUAGAAGUAUAACUCACUUUGUUUUAUGGAAUAUUUUGCCUCUGUCGCUCUACACAACCUGACCUGCUUUGUGUGAACUUGUUUCUACAGGUGAAAAAGGAAUGAUGGGGAUGAUGGGCCAUCCGGGAAACACUGGCCCUCCCGGGCCUCCCGGGAACCCAGGCACCCCAGGACAGAGGGGUAGCUUUGGAAUUCCGGGAGCAAAGGGUGAGAAAGGGCCCCCAGGAGCCAAGGGGGAAAAAGGAGACAAAGGACCUCGGGGGCCUUCUCAAAUAUCCAAUUUACUGGGGGACAAAGGAGAACCAGGCCUCAAAGG
rnacentral:lncRNA from 1 species